ACUGCACGUAAGACUACCGCUUGUAGAUGCAGGCGGACUCAAUGCAGAGUGACUGGCGAGGAAACUCCACUUCUUUGCAUGUGCCUGUUACUGCCUGAAGGACCAAUGAGUGCAGACACUGGCAGUCUCCCUUUGCUGAGCAGUUAGAAGAGAGGGACGCCACCUCUGCACGUGUGCGCACGUGCAUGCUACGUCUGGAGAAGUCCUGCUGCGGAAUGCUGCUCCCCCCAUCACCAUGCGUCCCUUCAUGCCUACCCCCGCAGUGCACCGCUCUGAGAACCUUCUGCAGCACGCAGCAGCAGUGGCACCAGUGCCCUAUGCCCCGGGAAGAGGCAGACGAGUACCGUACUGCACGUGCCAAGGGGAUCAGGACGCCCCGUUCUAGCGGACCGCUGCCCCUUUCCAGGACUGCCUAACUGAUGUUGGAUUAAACAUCGUGAUUUAGAGAGCCAGAACCCUCUGUGAGUAGAAAACAGUAACGACUGUGGAUGCACGCCCAGCAGUGCAAAUAGAGCUUGCCUGUAUAAGACAAGUGGACCAUCUGUUUCAGACUGCUUUUUAUUAAGUAGCAUAACACCACAUCUCUAAUGCACAAAUGAUUAACUAUACUACAUCUUGUCUCUAAAAUAAUGAAAGGGAUAGAAUAUGUUCACUAUCGAAAGAAAAGAACUGUUCUACAUAGAAAGUAAGUAAUUUCCUGGCAAAAAAAAAGAAACAGUCUUUUACCAACAGAUACAAUUUCAACUAAAGUUAUAAAUAUAUGAAAAACUGUUCUCUAAUACUAUGGAAAAUAAUAAAAUCACCUUGCAGUCAAAAAUUAUUUCAACAGCUCUUGUUAUGAGUUAAUGUUGCUCAUCGCUCCGUUCAGAUGCAGGACAACUGGCUGUAUACUUUUUCUUCAAGCCUUUCAAAUAUAUUUGCAAGCUAUCCGAAUCCAAUCGCGAAUUUCUAGCAGUCUGAACCAAUCUCAUAGCUAAGUGGUAUACAGCUCUGUGUUUCAUCAUCUCAGGAGUGGUUCUCUGUCUGUGCUGUUCUUAAAAGCAUACACAUACUUUAAAAUAGGAAAUUAAUAACUUUCUAUUAUUAAAAUAUAAGCAUUGAAGGGCUUUUUUUCCACGCUAUUUCUGAUCUGCUGAUUCUUGUUGGUACACCAAAAUUACAGCCAGUACUCCUGAACCCCAAAGGCUGCUUUCUAUUGUCACCUAACAAAGGCCUUUACCAAAAUCUCUUACAAGUACUUUCAGAAAUCAAAAUGUUACUUUCUUGAUAACAUCUGUCAUCAUAAAACCCUAUGUAGUGUUUAUGCUGUAAUCUUUCAGAAACAUUUAAAAUAAACCAGAGUUUUGCAAAAACUGAGAAUGACAGCAGUAUACAUUUAUAAAUAGCUGCUACAUACCAAAAUUUGUUUUGCAAUAUGGUUUGUGAUUGCCUUUGCAUCCAAAAUUAUGGAUGGUGGUAGAGAGGAAACUUCUGCAGCUUUUAAUCCUAAACAAAGGAAACACAAAUCAGGAUCUAUGAUAACAUUUUAUCCUACCCUCCACAGUAUUUAUUCUAUAAUCAGCUCAUUUUAAAGGGUAAAAUAUUCAUCUAAAAAGUUAUUUUGAUAUCAUUUUUCUGUCUCUUUUUCCAUGAAUACUGUUUUAAGAGUUACUGAAUAAAAUGUCUACUUUGUUACAAUGUGGCCCCUAAAAUAUAAUUCCAUGUUAAGUUACUGCUGGCACUAAGUGGGCAGGAUCAGAUACUCCAAAGGAUGAAGGAAGAAUGGCACAGCAGUCAUGAUAGCUUUCUGUUUUGUUUUUUCAAGUUCGGGUUCUGCCAAAUGUACUCACUCCUGAAUGUGGGUAUUUAGUAGAUGUGGGUGUCAUUUUCCAACUUCUGUUCUUUGCCAGCUGCAAAGCUGUCAGGUAUUUCUUUUAAUUAUUUUUUUUUCAAACUUUUGUCUCUGACUCCGGCUGUUCAGAGGAAAUUCUGUGCUUCAGCAGGUGUUCUAAUAAUGCAGGGUUAGAAAUGGUCAAGAAGAGCCCCUGCACUUUUUAUUUAUUUAUUUAUUUUAAUUAAAUACAGCAUUAUUGAAUUAAGACAAAGCCAAGAGACAGCAACACAGAGUUACCAAAGGUCUCCUGUUCACAGAAUCACAGAGUUGUAGGGGUUGGAAGGGACCUCUAGAGGCAUUUUAAGUCCUGUCAAUUCAAGCCAGGUAAGAAUAAUUUGUAGUUUUCAGUCACCACUGGCUUGCAGUAAUCAUGUGCGACUAUUAAAUCUCACCUAAACCACAGGUUCAGCUACAGAAUCUUGCAUUUAGAAAUAUGGAUUUCUACAGCUCUUUAAAUCAUGUAGUUAUACCUUACUGUCACUCACGAUUUGUUGACUCAUAAUCCUUUAAUUUGCACACUCUUCUACUAAGUUAGUCACAGUGGAAUAUAUUACCAUAGUUCUUUUCCUCUGUAUAUCCUUUCGACAGUGUGUAAGUGUACGUAAUCUUCUCCUUUCCAGCACUGCUUCUCACAUGCUGCACUUCAAAAUGGUAAUUUUCCACAUUGGGAUACAAAGCAUCCAUAUGACACAGUUCCAGGAAAUGUGUUGCAAACAAAGUAAAUGCCUAAAUAAGAAAAAAAAGGAAAAAAAAAUAUGAUUCAAAUGAUCCUUUGAUAAAUUACAACAAAUGAGAAAAAUAGUCUCACAGUUCUCCAAGUUUUUAUCCACAACUCUGAAGAGCCAUAUUUGAACUGCUAAAGUAUGACUAAUGCAAAUAAUGCAAAAAAGCCCUAAGUGAUGAGUUCUAUCAUUGGCAAGCAUGUGUGUUCCCACUUAGGACUCCCCAGCUCUUUUCUCAGCAGAAGGGAAACACCAGAUAGAACAGGAAGUCCAUGAUACUUUUAAAAUGUGACAGGUUAUUCUGAAUGACCAUCAAAUGGGUGCUUUACUUUUUUCAGUGUAUGUUUUUCCAAAGGCACAAGCUACAGAAAACAUGUGAGCUUUCCAGAUAAAACCACAACAGUACUCUGAAUGAACUCAGAUUCAGUUUCUUAUCAAUAAACAUCUGUAAGUUGACAACAAGCUGAGGCUAAUCACAUAACUAGUAACAGAGGAGCAACUUUCAACCCAUCUAAAAUCCUUCGACAUUCUUCUAAACAAACCUCUGACCUAUGUAAUGAAUACCUUGGCUGUGUGGAAAUACUGCAUUAAGUAGUUGUAUGGAACUUCCAUCCCCUUUAACGUUCAAGCAUACAAAGUACUAACUAAGCAAACAUGACGAGGCUGGGUUAGUAUUUUUCUAGAUAAGAAAGCAAGUUUUCAAGCAAGGUGCAGAGAUGGUGACCAGUGACUGGAAAUGCAGAAUAUGUCAGCAUUUUUUUCUGUCACUGUAACUCCUACUGUUCACUGGUUAUGAAAAAUGUCAUAUCUAGGCAAUAAAUCUCUAUAAAAUUUUAUCUAAAUUAUGAGAAACCACAAUACUUACAGUGCAAUAAAAUAAUUAGAAAAAGUUUACACUUUUUUUUUUUUCAGAAUUACCUUCAAAUUCAAGAGAUAUUCACAGGCAGCAUAACAAAUACCAAUACCUUCUUCAGCACUGGUACCUCUGCCAAGUUCAUCAAUUAUGAUGAGUGAUUUGUCGUUAGCAUUUUGUAUGAUGUAUGUUAUCUAGGAAAAUAUUUUAUUAGUUAUCAUUCCUAGGAAAGCAUCUUUUAAAAAUCAUGCUACUAAUUGAAAUACCUUGUGUUAUUCAGAUAAAAAUACAGAAAUGUAAAAGACUCAAGUCAGAUUCAUUAGUUUUACUUUUUCGUACCUUUCAAAUAGCUGUAAAUUCUAAACCAUCAAUGGCUCAAUCCUACAACCCUCCUUCUCUUCUCCACUGAACCAAUGUACUCUUUGCUGGGUAAAAAGCUGGCUGGACAGCUGCACCCCGAGAGUGGUGGCAAAUGGAGUUCAAUCCAGGCAGUGUCUGGUCACUAGUGAUAUUCCUCAAGGGUCAGAAUUGGGGCCAGACCUGUUCAUCAGUAUCUUUACUGAUUAUCUGGAUGAGGGGGAUUGAGUGUACCCUCAUUAAGUUCACAGAUGACUCCAAGCUGGGUGGGUGUUGAUUUGCCUGAGGAUAGAAAGGCCCUACAGAGGGAUCUGGGUAGGCUGGAUCAAUGGGCUGAGGCCAACUGUAUGAGGUUUCACAAGACCAAGUAACAGGUCCUGCACUUUAGUCACAAUAACCCUAUCAAACGCUACAGGUCUGUGGGAGAGUGGCUGGAAAGCUGCAUGGAAGAAAAGGGUCUGGGGAGAUUAGUUGACAGCUGGCUGAACAUGAGCCAGCAGUGUGCUCAGGUGGCCAAGAAAUCCAACAGUAUCCUAGCUUGUAUCAGAAAGACUGUAGCCAACAGGACCAGGAAGAUGACUGUCCCUCUGUAUUUGGCACUGGUGAAUUCACACCUUGACUACUGUUCAGUUUUGGGCCCCUUAUUACAAGAACGAUAUUGAGGCACUGAAGAGUGUCCAGAAAAGGGCAAUAAAGCUGUUAAGGGUGUGGAGCACAAGUCUUAAAGGGAACAGGUUGAGGGAACUGGGAUUGUUCAGUCUGGAGAAGAGGAGGCUCAGGGGAGACCUUCCUGCUCUCCAGAAGUCCCUCAAAUGAGGUUAUAGCGGGGUGGGAGUCAACCUCUUCUCCCAGGUUACUAGGAAAAGGAUGAGAGGUAAUGGCCUUAAGUUGCACCAGAGGAGGUUCAAGGUGGAUAUUAGGAAAAAUUUCUUCUCAGAAGGAGCACUAAUGCAUUGGAACAGGAUGCCCAGGAAAGUGGUGGAGUCACUGUUCCUUGAGGUUUUCAAGAAGAGGGCAGAUGUGGCACUAAGGGACAUGGUUAUUUGGGCAUGGUGGGUUGAUGGUUGGACUUCAUGAUCUUAGCAGCCUUUUCCAAAAUUUAUGAUUCUAUGAUAACUGUUUUCCUCAAAAGCACAUCAGUGUGGGAGAAGAUAGUGAGAAUGCUUAGGUUUAGACAAAUAAUCCUUUAAGUUCCUAAAAAUAACAAAACAUUGGAAUUACUGUCCAGUGGAACACUGAUUUUUACUCAGAUUGGGGCAUCAUUAUAUAAGAUGUGUGUUCUCCAUCACUUAUCAUUCGGUUAAAAGAUUAAGGAUGAUUUUUUGACAGUUUUCAAAGUACAUUCUUUCAGCGGAAAAAUACUAGUACAAUUCCAAUCAUGUCAACUGUAAAAAUGGACAUUCGGCCCUACAUUAUCUGUGUUUGAUACCUCUUUCAUUUCCUUCAUGAAUGUUGAGGCAUUUGUUUCUAUAUCAUCGUCCAUACCUAUUCUGGUAAAAAUUUGCUCUGCAAUUCGAAAAGAGCAAUACUCUGCUGGGACAUAAGAACCUACAAAGCAAGUAAGAUACAAGUUUUCUCAUAUCAGCAUGACAAAUGCCAGUUUGUCUGAAUAUGUCAAUGGGAGAAAAAAAUUUUUACAUUUGGUCUUUAUGCACUGCAGAGAAUGUAUCUUGCUCUAUAAAACUUCUGAGAAUGUAUUUUACCAUUACUUUAUUUAAAAAUAUAUUACAUCGAUUCUACACUUGAACAAUCAGUAAAACCUUGAGAUACCAUAUGUCUGAAGCUAUGUCAGUCUGAAGGGAUGCAAAAGUGAGAAUGACCUGUUGGAUUAAUUUGCCUUUUUGCAGCCAUUGUGAUACUAAGCCCAAGGAAUAGUAAUUUCCACAAAACAAGAAUUAUAUUGCCUUACCAGUCUCUGAGAAUUACUAGUUUUACUGAAAAGAACAGGAAGCUUUGUAGCAUCAAUGAACUUUACUGUCUCCUUUAUCCAUAUUAAAUUCAUGUUUUUGAGAGUAAUUCCUGACAAACUUGCACUUGUUUGGAAUUGGAUCCAAAAAACACAUACCGGACAAAUUUUAUUCUCCACUACUACGUAAUUUCAACCCAUUUAUUUCAGCCCAUUAGAUCCUCUCUCCUGAACUACUGGCCUUAUCUUUCUUUAUCUUUGAGACAAAAAAAAUCACAAAGAAUUCCUAAGUAUAAGGACAAAGCUUAGAUAGUCAGACUUCACAGAUAUUUCACUUUUAUAAUUUUAGUGAUAAAGCAUUGCAAUAUUUAUUGCUUCUUUUAUACGAUCUAUUCAUUCUGCUUGGCUGAAAGCAUGUUUCUCCCCAUAAGCAAAGUAUCCUCAACUUCAUCUCUUCUUUUCAGAUGAUGAAUACAUAUGCAGCCUGUGGACAUUCACUGUUAAGCUAGCAUGAGGUGCUAGACAGUUAGGAUGCUCCAAAAAAAAAAAAAAAUUAAAGCCUCCAACUGUGUUUCUCCUAGUUCAAACUGCCCAGGCUUCCUUAUACACAGAGGAGACCUCAUAAGUUUCCAUGGCAGACCCAAAAUCCUACAGUGGCUUCUUCAGCAACAUAAGCACUGGUAGGAGCAAAAGUAUUUAAAAUUACAUUUUACUAUUUACAUAGAAUCUUAUUCUUUAAGAUAAAUUAUUAGCCUUCAAAAAGAUUUUUAACUAGAAACUAACUAAAGUGCUAAAAAAGUUUAUGGAUAUGGUAAAGUCUUACCGAUCUGCGCCAUAAUCUGACAGAGUGCAAUCUGUUUUAUGUAUGUUGAUUUUCCACUCAUAUUUGGUCCUGUGAUAAUGAGAAAAUUGCUACCUUCUGUCAGAUAUGCAUUGUUAGACACAGGUUUUUCCAUAGCUAUCUUUUCAAGAAUAGGAUGCCAUCCCUGCUUGAUUGCUAAAGUAUCUGUAAAUUCUGGACGAACUAAAAGAGAAGAAGGAUAUAAUAAAGCUUCAUAGAAUUAGUAUGGUAACCUUUAUGUUAAUAAACCAGUGCAUUUUGAAAUGAAGUUCAAUUUUGAAAUGAAGUUCAAAAAUGUUUCAAAAGUGAAGCAUUUUUGAACAGAAGUCAAACUCUGUGGUCUUGAUUCCCUAAUUUUUACUUUCCUGUAGUCAGCAAGACAAAGAUGGAACACUUACAAGAAUUACCAGCUAUCUUCAGAACUGGGCUAGGGAAGCCAGAUGAUGCAGUGAUGCAAACACAACCAAAUUUUUGACCCAGGAUGUAACAAUACGCAGGUAAGCACAUGAUCCUGGAUUCCUCAGAAGAUCCCCCCAAAAGCAUUCAAAAGUGCUACAAAAAAUUGAAGCUGAAAAAUCGAUAGUCACUUAUUUUUCUCUUGAGAUACAUACUUAAUGUUGACCUGUUUAUAUUACCUUGUGUCCUUUCAGGACACUGGAGUAAAUGCAGGAUGUCCACAGACUUGAAAAGAACAUGCUUAAACCAACUAUCGUGAAAAAGACUGGAUAUGAAGGCUUACAGCAGUUGAAUGGAAGAAUAUAAUUUCAAUGCACAGAAAUAGAAGGAACAUCAGCACAAAACUGGCAACGAUAGACCAAAUACAUUUAGAGCCUAGUGAGACCCAGAAGAAUAAAUGACGUGUGCUUAGCAAUUGGAGAACCAGACAAAGCAGCCUGGAUAUCCUCCAACUGGAGGGUCUUUACUUGGUUUUUAACAGAAUGAAAAAAAUAAACUUACCGUAGUCAGAAAUAGUGCAGGCAUGAGCAAAUGAAAGCAGCAUGUCUAGCAUCGACACAAUGUCAGACAGCUUGUAUAGACAAUGAAUAUGUUCAUAGAUCUCAUUCAGCAGUUUACACACUAUUCUUUAAAAAAAAAAGCAACAGUUAAUUAUGUUCAUUCUGCAUACAUUAGGAUGGGAGGUUACUUCAUAAAACAUAAUCACCUCUGACAAAUGCAGGCAAAAAUCUGAAUUUCUUUGAAGUAUAUUAAGAUCUUACACAAUGAUCUCAGAUCAAUUACUGCCAUCAAGUACAAGACACAGCUCAAAUACCAAAAGCAUGUUAUGAAAGCUUCACACAUCGAAUUAACUAAAAACACAGCUGUGGAGUCAAAUAUGUUUUAGUAACAUCCUCAGGGUAACUCUUAAAUUCCCUUAGGCCUUCAUGUUAAUAAGAACAAAACAAACAAAAAAACCCACACAAUUAACCAUACAUGGUUUCUAAAAAGAAAAAAAAGAAAAUUCCACAAAAAUUCACUAUACACCUAGCAAGUUUUCUGAAACAGCAGGUUAACACAACAUGCAGCAGGGUCAAAAAUACAGAUAUAGUCAGCUCUACUGUUAACUCAAAUGAUAAUGAUUCCACAUGACAAAAUUAAGAAAUACUAAAUACGAAGGCUACCAUUACUAAUAAACGUCUACGUCCUUCUAAUCAUGUUCAAUACAAUAUACAGGUUGUGUUACUUCUUUCCUCUCAGGUAAUGCACUUGAUCAUCAACACCACUGAUGACACCGAUCAGCGUUCACCAUGGAUUAUUGCCAUAAGUAACCAUAAUUUAUCAAAAAGGUGGCUUAAAAAAAACCCUAACAUACAAAUAGUUUAAAUAUGACAAAAGAAAUGCAGUUUGCAGAAAUACAUAAUAGUUUUAAACGGUCUUACAAGUAGGUCAUGUGAUAUAUUUCUCUCAGGGAUUCCUGGCAUCUUUCAUUCAUUUUUAUUAAAUCUGCUGAAGUGAAGCUAUAUGUGUUCCUUGUUUUAGUGACCUAUGGGAAAUUCAAACCAACAGUAAGAACUUGCCACAUAAUCAAAAGCCAGAACAGUUUCUAGAAAGCAAUCUGGGAAAAAUAUGGAGAAAAAAAAAGGGGGAAAAAAUAUUUAGGAAAAAAAAAAUUUCCUAAAUAAACUUUCAUGACAAAUCCUUAUAAAAGACAGCAGUUAUCAAUAAGAUACACAGCUUUACAAUUACAAGCAAUGUAGUCCCGUGUAGUUGCAUGAGAAAUGGGGUGGUUGUACCAAUUACACCUUUGUUUACUUCUAGGUAUGUUUACUGAAAUUAUUUUAACUGUUGUUUAAAUUGCUGUAUUAUAUGCUUUGUUAUUGUUGUUAUACAAUUUAUAUACAUUAUAAAAUUAUACAUUUUAUAUACAUUACUCAUAUAAAAAUUUAUUAAUAAAAUACCACCAGUGCAGAUACCUUUGUAAAUUCUGAAGGAAGUUUGCCAUUGGGUAAUGCUGAACAAUCAGCAUUCAUCUGGAUAAAAAAUCCACGCACAGAACUGAAACUUGUUUUCAGUGGUAGGUUGUACUUCUCGGCAAGUUGUGUUAUCAUACCUACACACCACAAAUAACAAUCAGAUCCUAAUUAUAUAGACACAUACACAUUUACCUGUACAAACUGUGGAAAUGAUUCAGACAGGUUGAACAUGUCAGAUAAGUAAAGGACGGACCAAAAGAGUUUUAAAUAUAGAGAUCACAAUAUAAUUGUUCAGCCUCAUUUAGAUAAGAUUGAAUUUUUUUCUACAAACGGAGAACCUGAACAUUAAUAUCAAAAGUACUUCAGUUACACAUCAGUGAUGAACAGCUUAUACUAAUACUAAAUAUGUUUCCCACAUAAAAAGGUUAUGUAACAUAUGAUUACAUGGCCUCUGUAUACUAGAUGUAAUGUACUUUGAACUCCAAGAAAAUAAAAGUCUCAGUUUGGAAAUA